rnacentral:rRNA from 1 species
CUGCUGCCUUCCGUAGGAGUUUGGACCGUGUCUCAGUUCCAAUGUGGGGGACCUUCCUCUCAGAACCCCUACGCAUCGUCGGCUUGGUGGGCCGUUGCCCCACCAACUACCUAAUGCGCUGCAUGCCCAUCCGUGACCGGGGUCGCCCCCUUUGGCCGGCAGGGGAUGUCCCCUCCCGGCAUUAUGUUGUAUUAGGCGGGAUUUCUCCCGGUUAUCCAUCUGUCACGGCCAGGUUGCAUACGUGUUACUCACCCGUGCGCCGGUCGCCGGCGG